rnacentral:rRNA from 1 species
AGAGUUUGAUCCUGGCUCAGGAUAAACGCUGGCGGCGUGCAUGAGACAUGCAAGUCGAACGGACACUCGGGGCUUGCUCUGAGUGUUAGUGGCGGACGGCUGAGUAACGCGUAGGUGACCUGUCCCGAAGUGGGGAAUAACUGCCCGAAAGGGUGGCUAAUACCGCAUGUGGUGGUGCGUUCGAUCGCGCCAGUAAAGCCGCAAGGCGCUUCGGGAGGGGCCUGCGUCCGAUUAGCUCGUUGGUGGGGUAACGGCUCACCAAGGCGACGAUCGGUAGGUGGUCUGAGAGGACGAUCACCCAGACUGGGACUGAGACACGGCCCAGACUCCUACGGGAGGCAGCAGUCGGGAAUUUUGCGCAAUGGACGAAAGUCUGACGCAGCAACGCCGCGUGAGGGAUGAAGGCCUUCGGGUUGUAAACCUCUUUUAUCAGGGAAGAUAAUGACGGUACCUGAUGAAUAAGUCACGGCUAACUACGUGCCAGCAGCCGCGGUAAU